rnacentral:rRNA from 1 species
GACGAACGCUGGCGGCGUGCUUAACACAUGCAAGUCGAACGGGGUCCAUGGAGUAGCAAUACUCCGGGAGACCUAGUGGCGAACGGGUGAGUAACACGUGAGCAACCUGCCCUAAAGACUGGGAUAACCCCGGGAAAACGGAGCUAAUACCGGAAACCUUCAUCGGAUCGCAUGGUCUGAUGAAGAAAUGAAUUUCGCUUUAGGAGGGGCUCGCGGGAGAUCAGCUUGUUGGUGGGGUAACGGCCUACCAAGGCUUCGACGUCGAGCUGGUCUGAGAGGACGAUCAGCCACACUGGGACUGAGACACGGCCCAGACUCCUACGGAAGGCAGCAGUGGGGAAUCUUGCCCAAUGGGCGAAAGCCUGAGGCAGCAACGCCGCGUGUGGGAUGACGGCCCUCGGGUUGUAAACCACUUUCAGUAGGGACGAAAUUGACGGUACCUACAGAAGAAGCUCCGGCCAACUACGUGCCAGCCGCCGCAGUAAAAC